CAUUUGCAAGAAACAUGGGCCAUAGUUAUACAUUCUAAGAAUAGCUCUUUUAUUCCAUCCAGAAUCCAGGAAAAAAGAAAAUAGUAUAUAUUUUUUUUAUUUCCACUUUCACUAAAGUUGUAGCCUUUUGCAAUUCCUAAUAUUACAUGGAGAUUAAACUCAGUUCAUUGGAUAGUCCCAAAUCCUAAUCUGCCGUCUUCUUCUGAGCAUCAGAAAUGAAGUCCUUAGGUUACCAUGACUAAUAAUUUCUCCCACCCAAUUGAUCUCCCAUCCCAUCCCCACAGCUACAGUAUCAGCUACUGGGCUCACUACUAAGGUUCAUUUCUCAAACCUAAGGAGUACUUUCCUAUAGAUCAGCCAUGCAUUUAAAUAUAUGUUAGUUAUUUUUUUAAUUGUAGUGGUAGGCUAUUUGUGUUUUACUUUGUUUUCUCUAGAACAGUAUUUAUCAGCCAUUUAUUUACCAGGGCACACAUUUUAAAAUAUUAUUUGACAUUCUGGGGUUAAAUGGAAGAAGAGAAGGCUGGCUUUGCCACUUAGCAGCCAAAUGACCUUGGGCAACUUACUUAACUUCUCCAUAACUCAGUUCUCUCAUGUGUAAAAUGGACAUAGCAGUACCUACCUUAUAAGGUUGCUGUAAGAAUUAAGGGAAAUGAUAUCUGUUAAGUGAUUAGAACUUAGCAAACACUGUAAGUAUUUGUUACAUAAAAAUGAAAACAAAGAAGAAAAUCAGUUUUAUAUUGUAUUAACAUGUAUAUUUAAGACAAAGAAAUUCCUUUUUGCUUUAAAAUCUGGUGCUUAUUGUUAAGACAGAGGAUUAACAAGAAGUAAACAUAUUUUCACCUAAAGUCACUAGGGUAACAAACUUGCAGUUGAACAGUAACAAUCACUCAAUUUGGUUCUCAUCACUCAACAACACUUCUCUUUUCUAUCCUAUAUAUUCACCUUGUCACUCACAUGUCUCAAGUUCCUAUAAGCAAAAAAUUGUAAAUGACAAGGAAAGUGACUACUGCAUCUCUCCACUUCCCACUCAGAAAAGCAUUCAGAGUUUCUAGGAAACAACCAAAUUCCCAAAGGAAAUGUCAUUUAAAGGAUUAAAGGGGUUUACUUUUUGUUGUUUUCGUUCUAACUUCCCUGGAGCAAGCACUUUGGCAUGUUGCUUCUUGAAACUAUCUGCCAGUACCAGUUCAGUGGAAAGUAACUUCCUGAGAAGCACUCUGAGAUUUCCACUGAUCCAUGUAUCUUUGCAGAAAAAGCUAAACAUCUAUAUGUGUAUAUAAAGUUUAAACUUAACUCUUCCUCUGAUUUGAAUCAAUAUUUAAAACUUGGAUUUCCAUCUCUCAGUCCAGCUAACAAUUACCCAACAGCUCAUACAGUGCUUGUCACAUCCUUUCCUAUGAUCUCUAUUAUAGGUCCCUCCUCACCCAUCCCACCCAAGUACAGUAUUUUAGGAAAUGCUUCUCUAAUUAUUCAUUUAAGAAACAAAAGAAUCUUUAGCCUUUAAGCUAAGGCUUAUCUAAUGUGGAUAAGUUUUAAAGUCAAAACAAAGAGGAAAUACAUUCACAAUUAGGGAAAAAAACUGCACAAAUCAAUGACAAAGGAGUCCAGUGACAUCUAAAUCCAACACAGGUGCUUCCCCUCUUGGCACUGACUCCAGUGGUUGUUUCCUCAGUCAAGAACCAGGACCAGAUGAUGGAGCUUGUUUGUGUUUAGGAAUAAUAUUGUUAGGAAAAUAUCUCUAAAAACCAGAAUUGCCAUCAGGGCAGUGAGAGGCUCCCACUCCAAAAGUUAUGUGACCACUGUGGCACACAAGGAAGACAACUAACUCACAUCUAACACAAACGGACUGUGGAAGAGCAAGAGGCAUCACCUGCUCUAUUUAAAACACCCUACCUCCCUUCCCCCGAGUUAAGUAUAAUCAGAUUUUAUAUCAUCCUUGGUAUUCACAACGAUGGAAAAACUUGUUCUCGCUGGUUUCCAACACUUUUCUAAAUUAAAAGAAAAAAGAAAGGAGAACAGCAUUUGGGUCAGUGACAAUUCAAGGCCUAUCUUAGAUUUCACAGAGGAAUAGUCAUCAAAGAGGGUCAUAAAGUAGAAUUUGACAUAAAUGAUAUAAUCUCUGGUUUACAUGCUACUAAGCCUGCUUAUUGAUGCUUAAAAUGGCUGAACAUUCGGUAAUAGCAUUACUGUUUUCAGAAUAUCAAAAUUUUCUCACAUUUAAACUGUCAAGCCUUUUGCUAAAAAGACAUUCAUUUAAUAUUUCAAAGAGAAAAAGGAAAAUGUGCAAUUCAAUAUAUCCAUUCCAUACUGGGAGCUCCAGGGUUUGAGAUUAUUUAAGAUUCAUAGGUGACAUGAUAGUUGUCUUCAACUAUGUGGAUGUCUGCCAGAAAAAUUCAGUUUAUUGGAACUAGGAUCAAGAUUGAGAUUGUAAAAAGGCAUAUAUUAACUCACAACAUAGGGUGUAAGUUUUUAACAAUUAGAGCUGCCAGAGUAUGAGAGUAGGCUCUCUUAUAAUGUAAGGGAUUUUCUAUCACUAGAUUUAUAAAAGGAACAAUGAUAGAGCAAAGCAUCUGGCAUAUGGUAGUUUCUCAAAUAUUUGUAAAUUUAAAUCACACCCAACCUGGUUGAUUCCUUAUCUGGGCACCAUUACUGGGAAUGAUUUGAAUGAAAUAAUUUCUGAGAUCUCUUUCAGUUCUGAAAGUAUUAGCUAGCAGAAGAAAUCAUUUACUGACUUUAUACUUUCAUUUCUCUAUUUUUAAAAUACAUGUUGACUUGGGGCUCUUGAAGAAACAGUCAAGUGUCAUAUCCAGUCAGCCAGCUGUACAAGGCAAGCUAUGAUGUGGAGAAAAUGGUUACAACACAGACUAAGGUUAGUCAAGGGACCUCAGCCCAGUCUCAACAGCAGUAGUUCUAGACCAGACUGCAAGUUGGGAAUAACCAAGCAAGCCAAUAUCCUUUGAACUGAGGGUAAAACUAUCUCCUCAUGUGGUGAUUGUGUUUGCAGUCCUGCUAAAAAACAAAUUGGGAUUGCUUCCAAAGGUCACAAUCAUUUGCUUAUUCUGGAAACUCUUGGCUUUUUAUUGGAAAUAAACCAAGGUAUCAGAAGUCUGAUAAGAUACAUAUGCUACAAAUUUGUUUUUACAUUAGUUUAGGAUAAGGCUAAACUGCUGUUAUAGAAAGACCCCAAAAUGCAGUGACUUAGGAACACAGACACUUAUCUUUCUCAUUUGACGUAUCUGAGAAAAAUCAGUGAUCAGUGAGGCAGCUCUGCCCCACAUAAUCAUUCUGAAUACCAGAUUCCUCCCACUUUGCUGCCUAGCCAUCCCCAGACCACCGGCACCAUCUGCAUGGUUGAAGAUGGGUUGCCACCAAAUCAGCAUCCCAGGCAAUGAAAGGAGCAAGAAACCCUGUGGCAGUCAUGCCUCACACCUUAAGACUCAAGAAUGGAAACAGCAUACAUGGUUUCUCCUGAAGUCUCAGGUGUGAAAACUUAAUUACAUGGCCAUACCAAACUAAGUGGGAGAUUUGGAGAUGUCGCCUAACUUAGUAAGAAAUUUGUGGAAAGCUAACAGUGGACACCACCAUUGUCCUUCUUUUUGUGAGUUGUACUUCACGGGUACCUAGAUACUUUCACUUAGGAGCUCACACACCCCUGGGUAUAGCACUUCCUCUCUCUGACAAUGUCCACCGAAGAAGGACUGAGUGAAUAUUUGAGAGUGACCAAGAGCAAGCAUCUACUAUCAUCUACUCUUUAGCACAUGUUACUACAUUUAAACCCUGACACACAGCAGGCUUUUGCACUGGUAAAAGGGCCAUUGCCACUGAUAUCUGCCAUGGAAGGAAGUGAUGUCCCAUAUAGGGGUGGAGCAAAGAACAGAGUUUAAAAAGGCUUCCUCCUACCUAUCCACUGCUCUGUCACCCAAUGCCAGGCUUCAGGCAAUACUCUCUCCCCACCUCCAUCUCUCUCUGUACUCCUGUGCAAGUUUUUAAAAUUACUUAAAUCUUAGUUUUCCAUAAGAGGAGAUGGUAAUACCCACAAAAAAAGUUUGUAAAUUAAGUGGCAUAUAUAUGUAAAAAUCUCACUAUCCUGUCUGAAACACUGAAGUAGUCAAUAAACAUUAACCCUUAAACUCCCCUCUUCACAGAGCUUCUAAUAGAAUGUUAAGAGAGCUGCAAUCUGAUCUGUGACAAGGUCACUUUCUUGUUUUUGAUGAAAUCACCUAAUCAUAAAUAUCUAGGCCAAGUCACAGAAACCUAGAUGUAUCUAGGGAGCCGACAAUAAAUUCUAGGGCUCCUUUCUAGCUAUCACCAUCUCUGAUGCAGAAUGAAACCAAUUAGCAUGAUUUGCAUUUCCAGGACAUCCUAGAGGCAGCCAUGAUACUUUUUAUGGCUGAGUGAACUACCUUAUCAGAAUGUUUUGGAAAAGGUUCUACUACUUCUUCACCAGCAAAGACUAUGAACAACUUAGAUUCCCAUAACCAAUCCACCACUGGAAACUAAAGAAAAGAGUUUGGACUAGUCUGCUUGAGAGAGAAAGAGAGACAAACAGAGAUGCCAAUGGCACACUACUAUAUGCAUGAGAUUUCUGAGAUUUCAUCCUCCCUAGAGUUUUGCUAUUAAAAUAUUCUCCCUUUUAUGAACUGAUGAACAGUAGACAUAGUUUUUUGUUGUGGUUGAAUGUCCUCAAGAAAUGUAAAGUUAGUUUUGGAGUUUCGGUCAUGGCUCAGUGGUUAAUGAACCCAACUAAGAUCCUUGAGGAUGUGGUUCGAUCCCUGGCCUCAUUCAGUGGGUUAAGGAUCCAGCUUUGCCUUGAGCUGUGGUGUAGGUCGCAGACGCAGCUCUGAUCUGACAUUGCUGUAGCUCUGGUGUAAGCUGCCAACUACAGCUCCGAUUCGACCCCUAGCCUGGGAACCUCCAUAUGCCACAAGUGUGGCUCUAAAAAGAC
rnacentral:lncRNA from 1 species